UAUGACGUCACCGUUUUGUAGUUUGUACGCAUCGAGGGAGAACUUUGUUUGAUAGGUAUAUUAAAUAUUGCAAUUAUAAAAGUGGUUUCGUAACAAAUGUUGCUUUUAAUUGCAUAAGUUAUCG